rnacentral:rRNA from 1 species
ACUCAAAGGAAUUGACGGGGGCCCGCACAAGCGGUGGAGCAUGGGGAUUAAUUCGUCACUAACCGAAGAACCUUACCAGGGUUUGACAUCCGCGGAAAGGGCGUGAAAGCGUUCCCCUCCGGGGUAACUCGGACCGCGAGACAGGUGUUGCAUGGCUGUCGUCAGCUCGUGUCGUGAGAUGUUGGGUUAAGUCCCGCAACGAGCGCAACCCUCACGCGAUGUUGCCAGCGUGAAAGACGGGAACUCUUCGCGAACUGCCCGGGUAACCGGGAGGAAGGUGGGGAUGACGUCAAGUCGGCAUGGCCCUUACAUCCUGGGCUUCACCCAUGCUACAAUGGGCGCGACAGAGGGAGGCAAGACGGCGACGUGGAGCCAAUCCCAAAAAGGCGCUCUCAGUUCGGAUUGCAGGCUGCAACUCGCCUGCAUGAAGUCGGAAUCGCUAGUAACCGCCGGUCAGCUAAACGGCGGUGAAUACGUUCCCGGGCCUUGUACACACCGCCCGU